AUGGAGGAGGUGGAGGCAGCCAACAGCGCGGCGGUGGAGAGCUGCCACAAGUUGCUGGCCUUGCUCUCCCAGCAGCAGGACCCAGCCCUUCUCAGGAGCAUAGCUUCAGAGACGGGUGAGGCCUGUGCCAAGUUCAGGAAGGUGGUCUCCCUCCUCAGCAAUGGUGGCGGCGGCAGGGGAGGGCAUGCUAGAGGCAGGUUCUCCAGGAGAAGGAAGCCCGUGGGGUUCUUGAGCCAGAAAGGCUUCUUGGAGAGCAGCAGCAACACCCCAUUGGGGAUGCUCAUGUCCGGGAGUGCACCUACUCCAUCCCCAUCUGCUGCUUCGGCAGCGCAACUGCGGCCCCAGGUUGGCGCGCCGCCGCAGCCGCGCAGCCUCGAUUUGGUCAGCUCAAGCAGCAAGAGCGCCCACCAGUUUGGCCCUCCGAAGAUGGUCCAGCCAUUGUCUGUGCAGUUCCAGUUUGGUGCCACUGCACAUAGAUACCCAUUCCAGCAGCAGCAGCAGAAUUUACAGGCCCAGAUGUUCAAGAGGAGCAACAGUGGGAUCAGCCUGAAGUUUGAUAGCCCCAGUGGCGGCGCUGGGACGAUCUCAUCGCCGAGGUCUUUCAUGUCCUCCCUGAGCAUGGAUGGCAGUGUAGCUAGCUUGGAUGGAAAGCCGCCGAUGCGUUUGCUCGGCGGCCCGGCUGCGAGCGACCCACUGAAUGUGCGCCAAUGCGCGCCUAAGCGGCGGUGUACGGGCAGGGGUGAGGACGGCAGCGGCAAGUGCACCACAGGUGGCAAAUGUCAUUGCUCAAAAAGAAGGAAAUUACGAAUUAAGAGGUCGAUUAAAGUGCCCGCCAUUAGCAACAAAAUAUCUGAUAUACCUCCGGAUGAAUACUCAUGGCGGAAGUACGGGCAGAAGCCGAUUAAGGGUUCCCCUCAUCCGAGGGGCUACUAUAAAUGCAGCACCGUCAGGGGCUGCCCGGCGAGGAAGCACGUCGAGCGGUGCGUGGACGAGCCGGUGAUGCUCAUCGUGACGUACGAAGGCGAGCACAGCCAUAACCGGCUGCCAACACAAUCUGCCCAGACCUAG
rnacentral:rRNA from 1 species